UUGGAGGGCAAGUCUGGUGCCAGCAGCCGCGGUAAUUCCAGCUCCAAUAGCGUAUAUUAAAGUUGUUGCAGUUAAAAAGCUCGUAGUUGAACUUCGGGGUCUACCCAUUGGUCAGGCUUAAUUGUCUGCACUGGUGAGAUGGAUCUCUACCUUCUGAGGAACUUUCAUGCCAUUUAUUUGGUGUGAUGGGAAAUCAGGACUGUUACUCUGUAAAAAUUAGAGUGUUUAAAGCAGACUAUCGUCUGAAUACAUUAGCAUGGAAUAAUGAAAUAGGACGGACUGAUUCUAUUUCGUUGGUUUCUAGGAUCACCGUAAUGAUUAAUAGGGAUAGUUGGGGGCAUUAGUAUUCAAUUGUCAGAGGUGAAAUUCUUGGAUUUAUUGAAGACUAACUACUGCGAAAGCAUUUGCCAAGGAUGUUUUCAUUAAUCAAGAACGAAAGUUAGGGGAUCGAAGACGAUCAGAUACCGUCGUAGUCUUAACCAUAAACUAUGCCGACUAGGGAUCGGACGAAGUUAAUUUUAUAAUGACGCGUUCGGCGCCUUACGGGAACAC
rnacentral:rRNA from 1 species